GAUGAACGCUGGCGGCGUGCCUAACACAUGCAAGUCGAACGAUGAAGGAGGAGCUUGCUCCUCUGGAUUAGUGGCGAACGGGUGAGUAACACGUGAGCAAUCUGCCCCUGACUCUGGGAUAAGCGUUGGAAACGACGUCUAAUACCGGAUACGAGCCGAGCAGGCAUCUGCAUCGGUUGGAAAGAACUUCGGUCAGGGAUGAGCUCGCGGCCUAUCAGCUAGUUGGUGAGGUAAUGGCUCACCAAGGCGACGACGGGUAGCCGGCCUGAGAGGGUGAACGGCCACACUGGGACUGAGACACGGCCCAGACUCCUACGGGAGGCAGCAGUGGGGAAUAUUGCACAAUGGGCGCAAGCCUGAUGCAGCAACGCCGCGUGAGGGACGACGGCCUUCGGGUUGUAAACCUCUUUUAGCAGGGAAGAAGCGAGAGUGACGGUACCUGCAGAAAAAGCACCGGCUAACUACGUGCCAGCCGCCGCGGUAA
rnacentral:rRNA from 1 species